rnacentral:rRNA from 1 species
UACGGAGGGGGCUAGCGUUGUUCGGAAUUACUGGGCGUAAAGCGCACGUAGGCGGCUUUGUAAGUUAGAGGUGAAAGCCCGGGGCUCAACUCCGGAAUUGCCUUUAAGACUGCAUCGCUAGAAUUGUGGAGAGGUAAGUGGAAUUCCAACGUGUAGCGGUGAAAUGCGUAGAGAUGUGGAGGAACACCAGUGGCGAAGGCGGCCAACUGGACCAUUUCUGACGCUGAGGCGCGAAAGCGUGGGGAGCAAACAGG